GCUCCCGGUGCUGCCCGGUGCCCGCCCACCCCAGCUCAGCGCCGGCCAGGAUUGAGCCCCGGGAAGGACAGGUGAGCUCGGGGCACGCACGAGGAGAAGAGCCGGGUGCCGUCCAGCAGGGAGCAGUUGUAGUGGUAGCGCACGAAGUCCCGGUCGCGGGUGGUGACGUUGCAGCCCUCGGGCCGGAACACGGUCUCGAUCUCCACGGGGUCUGCGGGGUUGUGGAAGUCGAUGACGUGGACAUCAAAGAUGAGCACGGCUGAGCCGGGAAUUUUGUCCCCUGGAAGAGGAGGAUGAGGAGAGCUGCUGAGAGAGCUGCUGGAGUGCUAUGUCCAGCAUGACCACGUCGAAGUACAGGGUGGCAUCUGGGGGGAUCAGCCCCGCUAAAGAGAUGGCAGUGAGGACAGAGCACCUCAGAUCUUGAAAAACUCCAAGAAGUAAGUGGAGACAUCUCAGUUCCUCCUCCGAAGGAAAAGCUGACGGAGCCUUUGGGGAGCGUCUGCGCGGCUGCAGGCCCGGCCCCAGGUCCAAGCGCUGCCGCGCCUCCUUCUCUUCCUCCUCCUCUUCUUCCUCUUCCUUCUCCUGCCACCGCCAGGUCAUCACACUCAGCCCAGGAUGCUGCUGCUCAGUCCCAGCAGUUUGGGAGAGUAAAUGGAAGGAAUUAAAUGCUUUAAUAAUGUG